AUACCUCAUCUAGUCUUAACGAGCUUUGAUGCAUGGAAAA
rnacentral:sRNA from 1 species